CCUACGGGAGGCUGCAGUGAGGAAUAUUGGUCAAUGGGCGGGAGCCUGAACCAGCCAAGUCGCGUGAGGGAAGACGGUCCUAUGGAUUGUAAACUGCUUUUGUACAAGGGUAAACCUGAAUACGUGUAUUCAGCUGAAAGUACUGUACGAAUAAGGAUCGGCUAACUCCGUGCCAGCAGCCGCGGUAAUACGGAGGAUGCGAGCGUUAUCCGGAUUUAUUGGGUUUAAAGGGUGCGUAGGCGGAUCGUUAAGUCAGUGGUCAAAUUGAGGGGCUCAACCCCUUCCCGCCAUUGAAACUGGCGCUCUUGAGUGGAAGAGAAGUAUGCGGAAUGCGUGGUGUAGCGGUGAAAUGCAUAGAUAUCACGCAGAACCCCGAUUGCGAAGGCAGCAUGCCGGCUUCCGACUGACGCUGAAGCACGAAAGCGUGGGGAUCGAACAGGAUUAGAUACCCUUGUAGUC
rnacentral:rRNA from 1 species